UACCGAUUUCUUUUUUAGAGCAUCCAUUUCUGUGGAUGUCCCUUCACAAUGAUCAAAUCAAAAAAUCUUCUUGGAUCCUUGGAACUCUGAUUCGUUUUGGAGGAUUUGAUGUUGAGUCCUGAAUCUCUUGGGUUUCUGUCAAAAGAAUGCCAAAACGGAAGUACAAAUUGUACUUGGAGCCUCACAGUACAAUCAACGCUGAGCUAAACUGAAAAGUGGACAUUUUGAUGUGGCAGAUGACUUCAAAAACAAAUCAGGGUCACACGUUGCAGAUGUUGAGCAGAUGGAUUGGGAUUCCCCAUUUGAAGGCACUGUUUUUCUGGAGUCCUUAAUAUAAGACGUUGGAACGAUUUCUUUAACUCCGUCGUCCAAGUAUUUAACAUAGGCAAACAUUUUUGCUUAAUUGAUCGUUUGAUGUGGUUGCCGUGUGGGUCAUCCAGAGCCCUAUAAUAGAAAUUCUACAUAAAGAAGCAGAUGCCACCCCACUCCCCGGAACGUUCCUUGCUCGCCUACACCAAGACCUGGACAACCCAGGUGGACUUGGGGCCUUUAGCAUUGCCGGAGAGGAUCAGGAGGGGACACGGAAUUCUGGAGCGCCCCCGAGAAGAGAUGUGGGCCAGAUUUGUCAGAGAUGUAAAUACAUCCCUUCUUACUUUUAAUUUCAAUAUUUGUUUUCCUUGAACUGAAACAUUUAUAAUAUGUCAUUCCAGGUCCUCAAACAUUACAUCUGCAUGUCUGCGGAUAGCAGUUAAUGGAUCAGCACCAGAGUAUAAUACAACAGUAACUGAUUGCAUUUUAUCGAAGUGCUUUGUUUUCAGGGUAGAUUUACUUUACCCGAGGGUGUCCAUUUCUGGCUAUUUCUGACAACUACUUCUGAGUAAAAUAUUGUACUAUUUAGUAUGCAGAACCUGCAUUCUUAAUGCAGCUAACGCGAGCUUGCAGCUAACGCUAGCAUGCCUCGAACGUUAGCUUGUUUAACUCAGCGGCCAAGUAUUUUGCUUGCCGCUGACUAGCUAAAUGGUUCUCCAACUAGCAAUUGCUAGUUGGAGAACCAUUACCUUAACGCUACCAUUUUAGCCAAAACUCAUAACAAAUGUAACUAGCAUAUCUUAGUUGGUCAU